CUCUGUGCCCCAAACACCAUCCUUCAGGCUUCAACACCUGUGCUCAGGAUGCCCUUCUCAGAUGUGAAGAUGACCCCCAGGAAUGAUGGGAUGAGGCCAAACGCAUGUAUGCUUUUCUUUUGAGGACAGCAUCGCUUCUUGAGGAUGCCACUCACACCUCUUCCACUCGGAGGGUUCCACCCUUUCCUCACUUAAGACCCUUGACCCAGUGAGCCUGGAUUGGGUGUGAAGUAUUAAGUAAUGCAUUGUUUCAUACAUUAAAUCCUGAUC